UGACCUCAAAUCAGGUAGGACUACCCGCUGAACUUAAGCAUAUCAAUAAGCGGAGGAAAAGAAACUAACAAGGAUUCCCCUAGUAACUGCGAGUGAAGCGGGAAAAGCUCAAAUUUAAAAUCUGGCGGUCUUUGGCCGUCCGAGUUGUAAUCUAGAGAAGUGUUAUCCGCGCUGGACCGUGUACAAGUCUCCUGGAAUGGAGCGUCAUAGAGGGUGAGAAUCCCGUCUUUGACACGGACUGCCAGUGCUUUGUGAUGCGCUCUCAAAGAGUCGAGUUGUUUGGGAAUGCAGCUCAAAAUGGGUGGUAAAUUCCAUCUAAAGCUAAAUAUUGGCGAGAGACCGAUAGCGAACAAGUACCGUGAGGGAAAGAUGAAAAGAACUUUGGAAAGAGAGUUAAACAGUACGUGAAAUUGUUGAAAGGGAAACGCUUGAAGUCAGUCGCGUUGGCCAGGGAUCAACCUUGCUUUUGCUGGGUGUACUUUCUGGUUGACGGGUCAGCAUCAAUUUUGACCGUUGGAUAAAGUCUAGGGGAAUGUGGCAUCUUCGGAUGUGUUAUAGCCCUUGGUCGCAUACAACGAUUGGGAUUGAGGAACUCAGCACGCCGCAAGGCCGAGAAUUUAUUCUACGUUCGUGCUUAGGAUGCUGGCAUAAUGGCUUUAAUCGACCC
rnacentral:rRNA from 1 species